UGGCGCCUGUGCCGUCAUGGCACUUGAGCGUGUACCGGCGGAUAUUCGGGCACAAGGUGGCGUGGCCCGUAUGUCGGAUCCACAGCUGAUUAAGGAUAUUAAGCAAGCGGUUACUAUUCCUGUGAUGGCGAAGGCCCGGAUUGGGCAUUUUGUUGAGGCCCAGAUUCUUGAGGCUAUUGGGAUUGAUUAUGUUGAUGAGUCUGAGGUGCUUACCCCUGCAGAUGAUGAAAAUCAUAUUAACAAGCAUAAUUUUCGGAUCCCUUUUGUUUGUGGCUGCCGGAACCUUGGGGAGGCCCUCCGCCGUAUAAGGGAGGGCGCCGCCAUGAUUCGAACCAAGGGGGAAGCGGGCACAGGGAAUAUUAUUGAGGCGGUGCGUCAUGUGCGGUCGGUUAUGGGAGAUAUUCGGCUUCUUCGCAAUAUGGAUGAUGAUGAGGUGUUUACAUUUGCGAAGAAAAUUCAGGCGCCAUACGAUCUGGUGAUGCAGACCAAGCAGCUUGGCAGGCUUCCAGUGGUGCAUUUUGCAGCCGGUGGGGCGGCCACACCUGCAGAUGCCGCUCUCAUGAUGCAGCUGGGAUGUGAUGGCGUUUUUGUAGGUUCUGGAGUGUUCAAGAGUGGGGAUCCUGCCCGCAGGGCCCGUGCCAUUGUCCAGGCCGUCACGCACUACAGCGACCCGGAGGUUCUGGUUGAUGUUAGCUGUGGGCUCGGGG
rnacentral:lncRNA from 1 species